rnacentral:sRNA from 1 species
AUUAAGUAUUAAUUAAACGGGAAAGGAAUAGGACGAUUUACCAGGGGUUAAACCUAAUCGGAACCGACCGGUACUAAAGUAGUCUUUUUGUGAAUUCCUUCUUUUAUAGCUAUAACUGCUGCCAUUGCCGUUGGCAUUAUUAGCGUUAGCAGCUUCGCUGAUGUCUAACGCGGUAUUAAUUAACGUACUAAAGGCGUUUACAAUCAUAAUUACUCCCGCACUGAAGCUUCAAAAUGAUAAGCCUCCAACUACUUGUUUAGCUUCUGAUUUUUUUAAUCUCUGCAUUAUUGUGUCUCCAUUUAAAUGAAUUACAUAACUAAAG